UGGGGAAUUUUGGACAAUGGGGGCAACCCUGAUCCAGCAACGCCGCGUGAAUGAAGAAGGCCUUAGGGUUGUAAAGUUCUUUUAUUUGGGAGCAAAGAUUAUGGGUGAAUAUCCUAUGAUUAUGAGAGUACCAAAGGAAUAAGCACCGGCUAACUACGUGCCAGCAGCCGCGGUAAUACGUAGGGUGCGAGCGUUAAUCGGAAUAACUGGGCGUAAAGGGUGCGUAGGCGGAUAUAUAAGUUAGAUGUGAAAAGCCCGGGCUCAACCUUGGUCGUGCAUUUAAGACUGUAUGUCUAGAGUUUGUAAGAGGGGGGUAGAAUUCCAAGUGUAGCAGUGAAAUGCGUAGAGAUUUGGAGGAAUACCGAUGGCGAAGGCAGCCCCCUGGUAUAGAACUGACGCUGAGGCACGAAAGCGUGGGUAGCAAACAGG
rnacentral:rRNA from 1 species